rnacentral:rRNA from 1 species
UACGUAGGGGGCAAGCGUUGUUCGGAUUUACUGGGCGUAAAGGGCGCGUAGGCGGCCACCGCAAGUCGACUGUGAAAUCUCCGGGCUUAACUCGGAAAGGUCAGCCGAUACUGCGGGGCUAGAGUGCAGAAGGGGCAACUGGAAUUCUCGGUGUAGCGGUGAAAUGCGUAGAUAUCGAGAGGAACACCUGCGGCGAAGGCGGGUUGCUGGGCUGACACUGACGCUGAGGCGCGAAAGCUAGGGGAGCGAACGGG